GUACGCUAUUCAGAGUUUUGAUCCUGGCUCAGGAUGAACGCUGGCGGCAUGCCUAAGACAUGCAAGUCGAACGAAGUGGCCCAACAAUAAUGGAGUGCUUGCACAAAAUUUGCGAUGGAAUUUCCACUUAGUGGCAGACGGGUGAGUAACACGUAAGUAAUCUACCUUAAAGACUGGAAUAAUGUUUGGAAACGAGCACUAAUACCGGAUGAUUCAUAUUUAGAUAACUAGAUAUGCUAAAAGAAGCGUUUGCUUCACUUUAAGAUGAGCUUGCGGCGUAUUAACUAGUUGGUGGGGUAACGGCCUACCAAGGUGACGAUGCGUAGCCGAACUGAGAGGUUGAUCGGCCACAUUGGGACUGAGACACGGCCCAA
rnacentral:rRNA from 1 species